rnacentral:rRNA from 1 species
CCUACGGGAGGCAGCAGUGGGGAAUAUUGGACAAUGGGGGCAACCCUGAUCCAGCCAUGCCGCGUGUGUGAAGAAGGCCCUCGGGUUGUAAAGCACUUUCAGUGAGGAAGAACGCCUGGUGGUUAAUACCCAUCAGGAAAGACAUCACUCACAGAAGAAGCACCGGCUAACUCCGUGCCAGCAGCCGCGGUAAUACGGAGGGUGCGAGCGUUAAUCGGAAUUACUGGGCGUAAAGCGCGCGUAGGUGGCUUGAUAAGCCGGUUGUGAAAGCCCCGGGCUCAACCUGGGAACGGCAUCCGGAACUGUCAAGCUAGAGUGCAGGAGAGGAAGGUAGAAUUCCCGGUGUAGCGGUGAAAUGCGUAGAGAUCGGGAGGAAGACCAGUGGCGAAGGCGGCCUUCUGGACUGACACUGACACUGAGGUGCGAAAGCGUGGGUAGCAAACAGGAUUAGAUACCCCGGUAGUC